UCAGUUUCUAUCUAUAAAAAAUUUUUUCCAGUACGAAAGGAACGAAAAAAUAAAGCCCAUUAUAAACAAUGCUUUUACACAGUUGAAAACAAAUAAAACACACAUAUACACACAAACACAUCCUAGAACAGGACAGG
rnacentral:rRNA from 1 species